rnacentral:rRNA from 1 species
CCUACGGGAGGCAGCAGUGAGGAAUAUUGGUCAAUGGGCGGAAGCCUGAACCAGCCAAGUAGCGUGCGGGAUGAAGGCCCUACGGGUCGUAAACCGCUUUUGCACGGGGAUAACAACCGCCACUUGUGGAGGUCUGCAGGUACCGUGCGAAUAAGGGCCGGCUAACUCCGUGCCAGCAGCCGCGGUAAUACGGAGGAUGCGAGCGUUAUCCGGAUUUAUUGGGUUUAAAGGGUGCGUAGGUGGUUAAUUAAGUCAGCGGUGAAAGUCUGUGGCUCAACCAUGACAUUGCCGUUGAAACUGGUUGACUUGAGUUUAUUUGAGGUAGGCGGAAUGCGUGGUGUAGCGGUGAAAUGCAUAGAUAUCACGCAGAACUCCGAUUGCGAAGGCAGCAUACUAAACUAUAACUGACACUGAAGCACGAAAGCGUGGGGAUCAAACAGGAUUAGAUACCCCUGUAGUC